rnacentral:rRNA from 1 species
GAGGAAUAUUGGUCAAUGGACGCAAGUCUGAACCAGCCAAGUCGCGUGAAGGAAGACUGUCCUAUGGAUUGUAAACUUCUUUUGUACGGGAAUAAAGUGGGCUACGUGUAGCCUUUUGUAUGUACCGUACGAAUAAGGAUCGGCUAACUCCGUGCCAGCAGCCGCGGUAAUACGGAGGAUCCGAGCGUUAUCCGGAUUUAUUGGGUUUAAAGGGUGCGUAGGUGGAUUGAUAAGUCAGUGGUGAAAGUUUGCAGCUUAACUGUAAAAUUGCCGUUGAAACUGUCGGUCUUGAGUGCAAAUGAGGUAGGCGGAAUGCGCCGUGUAGCGGUGAAAUGCUUAGAUAUGACGCAGAACUCCGAUUGCGAAGGCAGCUUACUGGGAUGCAACUGACACUGAGGCACGAAAGCGUGGGUAUCAAAC